rnacentral:snRNA from 1 species
AUACUUACCUGGCAGGGGAGAUACCUUGAUCAUGAAGGUGGUAUUCCCAGGGCAAGUUUUAUCCAUUGUACUGUGGAUGUGCUGACCUCUUCAAUUUUCCCAAAUGUGGGAAACUCAACUACAUAAUUUGUGGUAGUGGGGGACUGCAUUCACACUCUUCCCUG